GACGAACGCUGGCGGCGUGCUUAACACAUGCAAGUCGAACGGAAAGGCCCUGCUUUUGUGGGGUGCUCGAGUGGCGAACGGGUGAGUAACACGUGAGUAACCUGCCCUUGACUUUGGGAUAACUUCAGGAAACUGGGGCUAAUACCGGAUAGGAGCUCCUGCUGCAUGGUGGGGGUUGGAAAGUUUCGGCGGUUGGGGAUGGACUCGCGGCUUAUCAGCUUGUUGGUGGGGUAGUGGCUUACCAAGGCUUUGACGGGUAGCCGGCCUGAGAGGGUGACCGGCCACAUUGGGGCUGGGGAUCGGCCCAGACUCCUUCGGGGGGCAGCAGUGGGGAAUAUUGCACAAUGGGCGGAAGCCUGAUGCAGCAACGCCGCGUGCGGGAUGACGGCCUUCGGGUUGUAAACCGCUUUCGCCUGUGACGAAGCGUGAGUGACGGUAAUGGGUAAAGAAGCACCGGCUAACUACGUG
rnacentral:rRNA from 1 species